AGUUUGAUCAUGGCUCAGGACGAACGCUGGCGGCGUGCCUAAUACAUGCAAGUCGAACGAACUCUGGUAUUGAUUGGUGCUUGCACCAUGAUUUACAUUUGAGUGAGUGGCGAACUGGUGAGUAACACGUGGGAAACCUGCCCAGAAGCGGGGGAUAACACCUGGAAACAGAUGCUAAUACCGCAUAACAACUUGGACCGCAUGGUCCGAGCUUGAAAGAUGGCUUCGGCUAUCACUUUUGGAUGGUCCCGCGGCGUAUUAGCUAGAUGGUGGGGUAACGGCUCACCAUGGCAAUGAUACGUAGCCGACCUGAGAGGGUAAUCGGCCACAUUGGGACUGAGACACGGCCCAAACUCCUACGGGAGGCAGCAGUAGGGAAUCUUCCACAAUGGACGAAAGUCUGAUGGAGCAACGCCGCGUGAGUGAAGAAGGGUUUCGGCUCGUAAAACUCUGUUGUUAAAGAAGAACAUAUCUGAGAGUAACUGUUCAGGUAUUGACGGUAUUUAACCAGAAAGCCACGGCUAACUACGUGCCAGCAGCCGCGGUAAUACGUAGGUGGCAAGCGUUGUCCGGAUUUAUUGGGCGUAAAGCGAGCGCAGGCGGUUUUUUAAGUCUGAUGUGAAAGCCUUCGG
rnacentral:rRNA from 1 species